GACGAACGCUGGCGGCGUGCCUAAUACAUGCAAGUUGAGCGCUGAAGGUUGGUACUUGUACCAACUGGAUGAGCAGCGAACGGGUGAGUAACGCGUGGGGAAUCUGCCUUUGAGCGGGGGACAACAUUUGGAAACGAAUGCUAAUACCGCAUAAAAACUUUAAACACAAGUUUUAAGUUUGAAAGAUGCAAUUGCAUCACUCAAAGAUGAUCCCGCGUUGUAUUAGCUAGUUGGUGAGGUAAAGGCUCACCAAGGCGAUGAUACAUAGCCGACCUGAGAGGGUGGUCGGCCACAUGGGGACUGAGACACCGCCCAAACUCCUACGGGAGGCAGCAGUAGGGAAUCUUCGGCAAUGGACGAAAGUCUGACCGAGCAACGCCGCGUGAGUGAAGAAGGUUUUCGGAUCGUAAAACUCUGUUGGUAGAGAAGAACGUUGGUGAGAGUGGAAAGCUCAUCAAGUGACGGUAACUACCCAGAAAGGGACGGCUAACUACGUGCCAGCCGCCGCAGUAA
rnacentral:rRNA from 1 species